CUAUACAUGACUCUGCGCAUAUCAAUAAGCGGAGGAAAAGAAACUAACAAGGAUUCCCUUAGUAACGGCGAGUGAAGCGGGAAGAGCUCAAAUUUGAAAUCUUCAAGGUUCUACCUUGACGAAUUGUAGUUUAAAGAAGUGUUUUCUGUUAGUGGAGUGGCAAAAGUUCUUUGGAAUAGGACAUCAUAGAGGGUGAGAAUCCCGUAUUUGGUCAUUCCUUCUAGCUUUGUGAUACACUUUCAAAGAGUCGGAUUGUUUGGGAAUGCAGUCCAAAAUGGGUGGUAAAUUUCAUCUAAAGCUAAAUAUUGGCGAGAGACCGAUAGCGAACAAGUACCGUGAGGGAAAGAUGAAAAGAACUUUGAAAAGAGAGUUAAACAGUACGUGAAAUUGUCAAAAGGGAAGCGUUUGACACCAGUGUUGUUUUUCCGAAAAUCAAUUAUGAAUGGCUUGAUUUUAGGAGUUUCAUGACCUUAAAAGCUUGUUGCUUAUUUUUACUUGUAACUUUCGUAAUGCACUUUUCGGUUAACAAGUCAACAUCAAUUUCUUUUGUUGUAAAAGAGUUAUAGGAAGGUGGCUUUACUUUCGGAGUAAAGUGUUUAUAGCCCUUUAUAGCUUCUAGCAAUCGGAGAGAUUGAGGUCUGCAGCGUAGAUCCUUCGGGGUUAGAUACAUUUGUGCUAAGUUAUAGCUUUUCAUAGACAACUUGUUGACUAUGUUUAGUCUUGUAGACUUACUCGCUUACGCUAUUUUACCUACGCUUAGGAUGUUGAUAUGCAUGACUGAUAU
rnacentral:rRNA from 1 species